rnacentral:tRNA from 1 species
GGAAGUGCCUAGCUCGCUGGUGGGGCUCCCGGACUUCAAAUCCGGUGUGGGGCGGAAGCGUCCCGGGUGGGUUCGAUUCCCAUGCACUUCCG